AGUGAACGCUGUCGUUAGGCCUAACAUAUGCAAUUCUAACGGCAGCACAUUAAGAUCUUGCUCUUACUGGUGGCGAGUGGCGGACGGGUUAGGAAUAAAUCGGAAGCUACUUUUUCGUGGGGGAUAACGUAGGGAAACUUACGCUAAUACCGCAUACAACCUACGUUUGAAAUCAGAGUAUCUUCGUACCUUUCGCAAUUUAAUGAGCCGAUGUCGGAUUAGCUAGUUGGCGGGGUAAAGGCCCACCAAGGCGACGAUCCGUAGCUGGUCUGAGAGGAUGAUCAGCCACACUAGAACUGAGACACGGUACAGACUCCUACGGGAGGCAGCAGUGGGGAAUAUUGGACAAUGGGCGCAAGCAUGCUACAGCCAUACCGCGUGGGUGAAGAAGGCCUUCGGGUUGUAAAGCCCUUUUGUUGGGAAAGAAAAGCAGCAGGUUAAUACCCCGCUGUUCUGACGGUACCCAAAGAAUAAGCACCGGCUAACUUCGUG
rnacentral:rRNA from 1 species